rnacentral:rRNA from 1 species
CGGGUGGCUGCAGUGGGGAAUCUUGCGCAAUGGGCGAAAGCCUGACGCAGCAACGCCGCGUGGAGGAAGAAGGCCUUAGGGUUGUAAACUCCUGUCAGGGGGAAAGAAGGCACCUGGGUUAAUAGCCCAAGGGCUGACGGUACCCCCAAAGGAAGCCACGGCUAACUACGUGCCAGCAGCCGCGGUAAUACGUAGGUGGCGAGCGUUGUCCGGAAUCAUUGGGCGUAAAGAGCGCGUAGGCGGCCUGUCAGGUCUGAUGUGAAAUCUCGGGGCUCAACCCCGAGCGUGCAUCGGAAACCGGCUGGCUAGAGUCUGGGAGAGGAGAGUGGAAUUCCUGGUGUAGCGGUGAAAUGCGUAGAUAUCAGGAGGAACACCAGUAGCGAAGGCGGCUCUCUGGAACAGUACUGACGCUGAGGCGCGAAAGCUAGGGGAGCAAACAGGAUUAGAUACCCUUGUAGUC